GGCUUAAAUAGGUCAAUUUUGGUCUUGAAAACCAAAUAAAGAUGUUCGAGUCAUCUAUAAGCCA
rnacentral:tRNA from 1 species